rnacentral:lncRNA from 1 species
AAGCACUCUACUACUCAGCAUGUCAUUGACACUUGAGUGGCUCUUCAGCUCUCCCAGGUUCGCUCAGGGGGGAGGACAGAGGACAAAGAAGCUGGCUGGGCCUUGCAACUCAGAGCAUCUGGGCUGGGAAAUGCAGCAGGACAUGGAAUUGGUGAAGAGUAAUUAAAGAACUAUGGGAACUCCAUUUUAGACCUGGUAGGUAUUAGUAGUAAAAGUUGUCAUUCAGUUUUAUUUUUGGCAUUUAUAAUAGGUUCAAAUAUAAAAGAAGAGACAACACCAAAAUAAAUAGAUCCACAGGGCAGUAAAUUCUUCCAAUGGUCUCAACGUCCUCAGUAAUUACUUGAUAGUUUCCAAUAGUAACUGCAUCUAUAGCCAUGCAUAUUUCCCCAUUUGAGGGAAAUCU